rnacentral:rRNA from 1 species
UACGUAGGUGGCAAGCGUUGUUCGGAUUCACUGGGCGUAAAGGGUGCGUAGGCGGUUUGAUAAGUCUGAUGUGAAAUCCCGCAGCUUAACUGCGGAACUGCAUUGGAAACUAUUUGACUAGAGGAAUGGAGGGGAGACUGGAAUACUUGGUGUAGCAGUGAAAUGCGUAGAUAUCAAGUGGAACACCAGUGGCGAAGGCGAGUCUCUGGACAUUUCCUGACGCUGAGGCACGAAAGCCAGGGGAGCAAACGGG